CAUGCCCAGACGCCGGAAAUUGCACCUGCGCAGAAGCUAUUUUCAGCGUCUGGGCAUG
rnacentral:miRNA from 1 species